CCUACGGGCGGCAGCAGUAGGGAAUAUUGCUCAAUGGGGGAAACCCUGAAGCAGCAACGCCGCGUGGAGGAUGAAGGUUUUCGGAUUGUAAACUCCUUUUGUUAGAGAAGAUAAUGACGGUAUCUAACGAAUAAGCACCUGCUAACUCCUUGCCAGCAGCCGCUGUAAUACGGAGGGUGCAAGCGUUCCUCCGUAUCAAUGGGCGUAAAGGUCGCGUAGGCGGGGUAGCAAAUCAGAUGUGAAAUCCUAUGGCUUAACCAUAGAAGUGCAUUUGAAACUGUUAUUCUAGAGUAAGGGAGAGGUAGGUGGAAUUCUAGGUGUAGGGGUAAAAUGCGUAGAGAUCAAGAGGAAUACUCAUUGCGAAGGCAGCCUGCUAGAACAAAACUGACGCUGAUGCGCGAAAGCGUGGGGAGCAAACAGGAUUAGAUACCCGUGUAGUC
rnacentral:rRNA from 1 species